GGAUCCAAAGCCGAGUGUAUAACGCGAUGGCGUUUGAAGCGAAAGGUACUGGGUUCGAGUCCCAGAGUGAUC
rnacentral:tRNA from 1 species